rnacentral:rRNA from 1 species
GACGAACGCUGGCGGCGUGCUUAACACAUGCAAGUCGAACGGAAAGGCCCUGCUUUUGUGGGGUGCUCGAGUGGCGAACGGGUGAGUAACACGUGAGUAACCUGCCCUUGACUUUGGGAUAACUUCAGGAAACUGGGGCUAAUACCGGAUAGGAGCUCCUGCUGCAUGGUGGGGGUUGGAAAGUUUCGGCGGUUGGGGAUGGACUCGCGGCUUAUCAGCUUGUUGGUGGGGUAGUGGCUUACCAAGGCUUUGACGGGUAGCCGGCCUGAGAGGGUGACCGGCCACAUUGGGACUGAGAUACGGCCCAGACUCCUACGGGAGGCAGCAGUGGGGAAUAUUGCACAAUGGGCGGAAGCCUGAUGCAGCAACGCCGCGUGCGGGAUGACGGCCUUCGGGUUGUAAACCGCUUUCGCCUGUGACGAAGCGUGAGUGACGGUAAUGGGUAAAGAAGCACCGGCUAACUACGUGCCAGCAGCCGCGGUGAUACGUAGGGUGCGAGCGUUGUCCGGAUUUAUUGGGCGUAAAGGGCUCGUAGGUGGUUGAUCGCGUCGGAAGUGUAAUCUUGGGGCUUAACCCUGAGCGUGCUUUCGAUACGGGUUGACUUGAGGAAGGUAGGGGAGAAUGGAAUUCCUGGUGGAGCGGUGGAAUGCGCAGAUAUCAGGAGGAACACCAGUGGCGAAGGCGGUUCUCUGGGCCUUUCCUGACGCUGAGGAGCGAAAGCGUGGGGAGCGAACAGGCUUAGAUACCCUGGUAGUCCACGCUGUAAACGGUGGGUACUAGGUGUGGGGUCCAUUCCACGGGUUCCGUGCCGUAGCUAACGCUUUAAGUACCCCGCCUGGGGAGUACGGCCGCAAGGCUAAAACUCAAAGGAAUUGACGGGGCCCCGCACAAGCGGCGGAGCAUGCGGAUUAAUUCGAUGCAACGCGUAGAACCUUACCUGGGUUUGACAUGGAUCGGGAGUGCUCAGAGAUGGGUGUGCCUCUUUUGGGGUCGGUUCACAGGUGGUGCAUGCCUGUCGUCAGCUCGUGUCGUGAGAUGUUGGGUUAAGUCCCGCAACGAGCGCAACCCUUGUUCACUGUUGCCAGCACGUUAUGGUGGGGACUCAGUGGAGACCGCCGGGGUCAACUCGGAGGAAGGUGGGGAUGACGUCAAGUCAUCAUGCCCCUUAUGUCCAGGGCUUCACGCAUGCUACAAUGGCUGGUACAGAGAGUGGCGAGCCUGUGAGGGUGAGCGAAUCUCGGAAAGCCGGUCUCGGUUCGGAUUGGGGUCUGCAGCUCGACCUCAUGAAGUCGGAGUCGCUAGUAAUCGCAGAUCAGCAACGCUGCGGUGAAUACGUUCCCGGGGCU